UACGUAGGGUGCAAGCGUUAAUCGGAAUUACUGGGCGUAAAGCGUGCGCAGGCGGUUGUGCAAGACCGAUGUGAAAUCCCCGGGCUUAACCUGGGAAUGGCAUUGGUGACUGCACGGCUAGAGUGUGUCAGAGGGGGGUAGAAUUCCACGUGUAGCAGUGAAAUACGUAGAGAUGUGGAGGAAUACCGAUGGCGAAGGCAGCCCCCUGGGAUAACACUGACGCUCAUGCACGAAAGCGUGGGGAGCAAACAGG
rnacentral:rRNA from 1 species